rnacentral:rRNA from 1 species
AUUGAACGCUGGCGGCAGGCCUAACACAUGCAAGUCGAACGAGUGGCGGACUGGUUAGUACUUUCUGGGAACCUGCCUGAUGUAGGUGGAUAACUACUGGAAACGGUAACUAAUACCGCAUACCCUCCUAUGUGCCCAGAUGGUAUUAUCUAGUAGGUGGGGUAAAGGCUCACCGAGGCGACGAUCCCUAGCUGUUCUGAGAGGAUGACCAUCAAAACUGGAACGGUGAAACGGUCCAGACUCCUACGGUAGGCAGACGUGGGGAAUAUUGCACAAUGGGCGAAAGCCUGAUGCAGCCAUGCCGCGGGUAUGAAGAAGGCCUUCGGGUUGUAAAGUACUUUCAGCGGGGAGGCGUUACCCGCAGAAGAAGCACCGGCUAACUCCGUGCCAGCAGCCGCGGUAAUAC